AGGGAGUUUGAUCCUGGCUCAGGAUGAACGCUGGCGGCGUGCUUAACACAUGCAAGUCGAACGGGGUUUACGAGAAGCUUGCUUUUUGUAAACCUAGUGGCGGACGGGUGAGUAACGCGUGAGUAACCUGCCUUAGACUGGGGGAUAACACUUAGAAAUAGGUGCUAAUACCGCAUAAGCGCACAGUAUCGCAUGAUACAGUGUGAAAAACUCCGGUGGUCUAAGAUGGACUCGCGUCUGAUUAGCUAGUUGGUGAGGUAACGGCCCACCAAGGCGACGAUCAGUAGCCGGCCUGAGAGGGUGAACGGCCACAUUGGGACUGAGACACGGCCCAAACUCCUACGGGAGGCAGCAGUGGGGGAUAUUGCACAAUGGGCGAAAGCCUGAUGCAGCGACGCCGCGUGAGUGAAGAAGUAUUUCGGUAUGUAAAGCUCUAUCAGCAGGGAAGAAAAUGACGGUACCUGACUAAGAAGCCCCGGCUAACUACGUGCCAGCAGCCGCGGUAAUACGUAGGGGGCAAGCGUUAUCCGGAUUUACUGGGUGUAAAGGGAGCGUAGACGGCGAGGCAAGUCAGAUGUGAAAGGUGUGGGCUCAACUCACAAACUGCAUUUGAAACUGUUUUGCUAGAGUGCAGGAGAGGUAAGUGGAAUUCCUAGUGUAGCGGUGAAAUGCUUAGAUAUUAGGAGGAACACCAGCGGCGAAAGCGGCUUACUGGACUGUAACUGACGUUGAGGCUCGAAAGCGUGGGUAGCAAACAGGAUUAGAUACCCUGGUACGUCCCCU
rnacentral:rRNA from 1 species